rnacentral:rRNA from 1 species
GAUGAACGCUGGCGGCGUGCCUAAUACAUGCAAGUCGAGCGAACAGACGAGGAGCUUGCUCCUCUGACGUUAGCGGCGGACGGGUGAGUAACACGUGGAUAACCUACCUAUAAGACUGGGAUAACUUCGGGAAACCGGAGCUAAUACCGGAUAAUAUAUUGAACCGCAUGGUUCAAUAGUGAAAGACGGUUUUGCUGUCACUUAUAGAUGGAUCCGCGCCGCAUUAGCUAGUUGGUAAGGUAACGGCUUACCAAGGCAACGAUGCGUAGCCGACCUGAGAGGGGUGUUCGGCAACACUGAACUUGAAAACGGUCCCGACCCCUACGGGAGGCAGCAGUAGGGAAUCUUCCGCAAUGGGCGAAAGCCUGACGGAGCAACGCCGCGUGAGUGAUGAAGGUCUUCGGAUCGUAAAACUCUGUUAUUAGGGAAGAACAAAUGUGUAAGUAACUAUGCACGUCUUGACGGUACCUAAUCAGAAAGCCACGGCUAACUACGUG